rnacentral:rRNA from 1 species
GCAGCUUGCUGCUUCGCUGACGAGUGGCGGACGGGUGAGUAAUGUCUGGGAAACUGCCUGAUGGAGGGGGAUAACUACUGGAAACGGUGGCUAAUACCGCAUAACGUCGCAAGACCAAAGAGGGGGACCUUCGGGCCUCUUGCCAUCAGAUGUGCCCAGAUGGGAUUAGCUGUUGGUGAGGUAACGGCUCACCAAGGCGACGAUCCCUAGCUGGUCUGAGAGGAUGACCAGCCACACUGGAACUGAGACACGGUCCAGACUCCUACGGGAGGCAGCAGUGGGGAAUAUUGCACAAUGGGCGCAAGCCUGAUGCAGCCAUGCCGCGUGUAUGAAGAAGGCCUUCGGGUUGUAAAGUACUUUCAGCGGGGAGGAAGGUGUUGUGGUUAAUAACCGCAGCAAUUGACGUUACCCGCAGAAGAAGCACCGGCUAACUCCGUGCCAGCAGCCGCGGUAAUACGGAGGGUGCAAGCGUUAAUCGGAAUUACUGGGCGUAAAGCGCACGCAGGCGGUCUGUCAAGUCGGAUGUGAAAUCCCCGGGCUCAACCUGGGAACUGCAUUCGAAACUGGCAGGCUUGAGUCUUGUAGAGGGGGGUAGAAUUCCAGGUGUAGCGGUGAAAUGCGUAGAGAUCUGGAGGAAUACCGGUGGCGAAGGCGGCCCCCUGGACAAAGACUGACGCUCAGGUGCGAAAGCGUGGGGAGCAAACAGGAUUAGAUACCCUGGUAGUCCACGCCGUAAACGAUGUCUACUUGGAGGUUGUGCCCUUGAGGCGUGGCUUCCGGAGCUAACGCGUUAAGUAGACCGCCUGGGGAGUACGGCCGCAAGGUUAAAACUCAAAUGAAUUGACGGGGGCCCGCACAAGCGGUGGAGCAUGUGGUUUAAUUCGAUGCAACGCGAAGAACCUUACCUGGUCUUGACAUCCACGGAAGUUUUCAGAGAUGAGAAUGUGCCUUCGGGAACCGUGAGACAGGUGCUGCAUGGCUGUCGUCAGCUCGUGUUGUGAAAUGUUGGGUUAAGUCCCGCAACGAGCGCAACCCUUAUCCUUUGUUGCCAGCGG